rnacentral:rRNA from 1 species
UACGGGGGGAGCAAGCGUUGUUCGGAUUCAUUGGGCGUAAAGGGCGCGUAGGCGGGAUGGCAAGUCAGUCGUGAAAUCUCUCGGCUCAACCGAGAAACGUCGGCUGAUACUGCCGUUCUUGAGGGAUGCAGAGGAGACUGGAAUUCCCGGUGUAGCGGUGAAAUGUGUAGAGAUCGGGAGGAACACCGGUGGCGAAGGCGGGUCUCUGGGCAUCUCCUGACGCUGAGGCGCGAAAGCGUGGGGAGCAAACGGG